GUACGCCACAAAUAUAGCGCGUCCGAAUGCUCAGUACGCAUUGUGUAGUACGGAAAUCGUUUCCGAAUGCGUACUACCGCCACAGUAAACAACGGAGUUCACUACGCUAUCCCACAAUGCAACCGGAGUUUAGUAACGACAAAGAAGAGAUGGCUGACCCGACACCACCUGAAAGACGUCGUAGAAUGCGGCGAAAAAAAGAGACAUUAAAAAGAGCAAAAUAGUAAAAUGCAGCUGCCACUGCUAACGCCGCCGGCGACUAAAAACAAACAACCCGGCAAGAAGCGUGCUAUUCGGCCUACCACUUCUGGUCCGGCCAAGCGUGCGAGGAAGAAUGCCGAUCAUCCCGGUCCCCGGUAUCCUCAACCAUCUUACCCACAAGUCCUCAACACUGAUAUCUUCCAGGUUCUACAAACCCUCGCAGAAUCCGUGAAAAGCCUCGGAGCAAGGAAGGACGAUGUCGAGACACCGAUCAAAACUCCCGGAUGGGUCCAGGCCCCCAACCCGCUGUCGUCAGUCGUCACGGCGCCCAUCAACUUCCUGCACACCCCGGCGCGCAACAAUCUGUCUCGGCUUCCUCCGCUAACACAGUCUACGCACCAGCCGCGUGUUCAGCCACCGUGCCUAUUGCCGUCUUGGCAAUCUUCGUCCCUAGCUCCCAAAUCUUUUUCAUUAUCUACAGCUCUACCAGUUCAGCAUCCGGUUUCCAGGAAUUAAGACGCCUAUGCCCCGCAGCGAAUAUUGACCCAAUACUCAGCCCACCUUUCCACGAACUCCGGAUGGAUCAGGCAACAGUUUAAAUUCGCUGUUACUGUGCGUUCACACCAAACGCGACGGGGCGACAAGAUCCCAUACAAAGUGAACGUAGAGACGUGUAUCGGGCGAAUUUCUUCGCAAGAGAAACCGCCGAAAAGUUUUGAUUUGUCGCGCCACACUUUUGCCGUGCACAGGCGAGCGCUUUCACGAGGAUUUGUAGCGUGAAAAAUUCGCUCGAGUUGAAAUAUUUCAACUUUGAUGCGAAUUUAGCGUGAUUACGCGUGAUGACAGCCAAUCAGCUGUCACUUCCCGAUCAAGAUCAAACUGCUAAAUGGAGGAGAAAAUUAUUAUUUCGGCGUCCGCUCUGCCUGAGCUUUUUAAUUGCACCAUGUCUGGUUACAAGGACCGGACGGUGAAGGCAAGGGUCCGGCAGAAGGUGAGCCAAGAGGUUGGGCUAACUGAGGACGUCUGCCGCAAGAGACUGAAGGGCCUGAGUGACACCUACCUCAGGGAGAGACGAAAAGAGGCGGGAAAGAGGAGUGGGACAGCAGCAGGGCCAUCUAAGAGGUGGAAGUACUCUGCAAUCCUGUCUUUCCUCUACCCAUUUGUUACUCAGAGGGAGACCAGUAGCAAUAUGGGGCUGGGGGUCGAAGAAGACGGGAUUGCAGAAUACCCAGUCGAAGACCAGGGUUCAGAGGCAGCAGCAGGGACAGCGAAUAACCUAGGAGAAGAUCGAACCUGUACAAGCUGUGAGGAGCCGGAGGCUGCUGCUGCCUCUGAACCCAUUCCACCACCACCACCAACUGCUGCGGUCACCACAUCCCUAUUGCCCCAGUGAGGACACAGAAAAGAAGGAGAGUGGGGGGAGGGAGAGAUAGAGAAGUGCCUCCUGGAGGUGUUGAGGAGGCAGCCUCCACCUGCUCCAGUGCCUCCGCCUCCUCCUCCUCCAGCGCCUCUCUCCGAGGACGAGACAAACUUUUUUUGAAAGGGAUACUUCCUUCCCUGCAACGAUUGCCAAACCAUGCCAAAGAACACAUGAAAUUUCAAAUUUAUAAAUGAUUGCAUGACCCUAACAGUUACUAUAAUCCAGAACUGCUCAAUUUAGACAAUCAAUUUGGACCAUUCGGUGAAUUGGUUCACUGGGGUGACAAUCGUUGCAGGGAAUGAUCCAUGCCCAUUUUUUUUUGUUUACACACGCACACACACACACACACACACACACACACACACACACACACACACACACACACACACACACACACACACACACACGCCACAAUAAAUGAUUAUUUCUAUUAAAAAAAUGUGGCUUCAUUGAAUGGCCAUUUAAGUUGCUUGAGGGAUAUGUU
ensembl:lncRNA